AUUGAACGCUGGCGGCAUGCCUUACACAUGCAAGUCGAACGGCAGCACGGACUUCGGUCUGGUGGCGAGUGGCGAACGGGUGAGUAAUGCAUCGGAACGUGCCAUUGAGUGGGGGAUAACGUAGCGAAAGUUGCGCUAAUACCGCAUAUUCUGUGAGCAGGAAAGCAGGGGACCGCAAGGCCUUGCGCUCUUUGAGCGGCCGAUGUCAGAUUAGCUAGUUGGUGAGGUAAAGGCUUACCAAGGCGACGAUCUGUAGCGGGUCUGAGAGGAUGAUCCGCCACACUGGAACUGAGACACGGUCCAGACUCCUACGGGAGGCAGCAGUGGGGAAUUUUGGACAAUGGGGGCAACCCUGAUCCAGCCAUGCCGCGUGAGUGAAGAAGGCCUCGGUUGUAAGCUCUUCGUCCGGGAACGAAAGUACGCAUGGCCGAAUAACCCUCGUGUGGAUGA
rnacentral:rRNA from 1 species